GACAGAGGUCCCGAGCGUUAGGCGGAAUCACUGGGCUUAAAGCGUGUGUAGGCGGAUCGUUAAGUGCCUUGUGAAAUCCCAUGGCUUAACCAUGGAACUGCUUGGCAUACUGGCGAUCUUGAGCCACUUAGGGGCAACCGGAACAAAUGGUGGAGCGGUGAAAUGCGUAGAUAUCGAGAGGAACACCUGCGGCGAAGGCGGGUUGCUGGGCUGACACUGACGCUGACAGCGCGAAAGCUAGGGGAGCGAACGGG
rnacentral:rRNA from 1 species